rnacentral:rRNA from 1 species
UGAGGAAUAUUGGUCAAUGGGCGGGGAGCCUGAACCAGCCAAGCCGCGUGAGGGAAUAAGGCGCCAAGCGUCGUAAACCUCUUUUGUCAGGGAACAAAAGCGGGCACGCGUGCCCGUCCGAGUGUACCUGAAGAAAAAGCAUCGGCUAACUCCGUGCC